CCUACGGGAGGCAGCAGUGAGGAAUAUUGGUCAAUGGGCGGGAGGCUGAACCAGCCAAGCCGCGUGAGGGAAGACGGUCCUAAGGAUUGUAAACCUCUUUUGUCGGGGAGCAAAAGACGCCACGCGUGGCGUUCCGAGAGUACCCGAAGAAAAAGCAUCGGCUAACUCCGUGCCAGCAGCCGCGGUAAUACGGAGGAUGCGAGCGUUAUCCGGAUUUAUUGGGUUUAAAGGGUGCGCAGGCGGACGAUCAAGUCAGCGGUAAAAUUGAGAGGCUCAACCUCUUCGAGCCGUUGAAACUGGGUUUCUUGAGUGGGCGAGAGGUAUGCGGAAUGCGUGGUGUAGCGGUGAAAUGCAUAGAUAUCACGCAGAACUCCGAUUGCGAAGGCAGCAUACCGGCGCUCAACUGACGCUCAUGCACGAAAGUGUGGGUAUCGAACAGGAUUAGAUACCCGGGUAGUC
rnacentral:rRNA from 1 species